rnacentral:rRNA from 1 species
UACGUAGGGUGCAAGCGUUGUCCGGAAUUAUUGGGCGUAAAGAGCUCGUAGGCGGUUCGUCGCGUCGGCUGUGAAAUCCCGAGGCUCAACCUCGGGUCUGCAUUCGAUACGGGCAGACUAGAGUUCGGCAGGGGAGACUGGAAUUCCUGGUGUAGCGGUGAAAUGCGCAGAUAUCAGGAGGAACACCGGUGGCGAAGGCGGGUCUCUGGGCCGAUACUGACGCUGAGGAGCGAAAGCGUGGGGAGCGAACAGG